AUUCUUCCCACCACGUUCCUGGAGGGAUGGGGAGGAGAAACAAAAGAAUGUAAAUCCCACAGGUUGAGAUAAGAGUAGUCCAGCAACUAAGGUAUAAUAAAAAACCACUACUGCUACCACCAAUGAUAAUAAUGAUUAG